GGCCUCGUGGCCCAAUGGCAAGGCGUCUGACUACGAUAGAGAUCGAGCAAUACAGUUCGGCCUUUCACGAUAAUCAGGAGAUUCUGGGUUCGACCCCCAGCGAGGUCA
rnacentral:tRNA from 1 species